rnacentral:lncRNA from 1 species
UCAAGUAUGUUAUUUGAAUUUUUUGAAAGUUCAUGUGUGUUUUAGCACGGCCAUAUAAGUCGGUUAUGAAUUGAACAUAUUGCAAUAUGUUGGGUAUGAAAUAUGAAAUGACAUUCCCGAUAAUGGUUUAUAACUCAUUCAAAUCCUAUGCUAGUGCCCCCAACUAGUUCAAAUUCUAUGAUGGUGCCCCCAUCUAUAAACUCUCCUAGAUCUGCCACUGAUUAUAACAAAUCCGUCGAGCCCAUCUGCAAUUUUGCUUGAAUAUAUAAAUAGAAAAUUUGGAAUGCAUCUAAGUAUCCUAAGUUCCUAACGUAACUCAUCCCAAGAUACAUGACCAUGGUGACAGUGGAUAGAGAGACCUAUGGCUCAGCGCGUAAACUUAGACCAUGCACGCAUAAGAUAAUUCGGGAUACUUGUGCACCGGAUAGCUCAGCAUGCAAUAUUGAUACCUUUGAAAAACUUGCACCACUGUAAGAAAAAAAAAACAUUUUCUCAACAAAAAGGCUUACAGCAACAUUAUAGAACACUAAAAUCAAUACAUAUAUAGUACCAUACAAGUUUUUCAAGUAUGACAAAUUUGUUUACUUAACAACUUAUAUCUUUCUUAUUAUUUCCCGGUUUGUAAGAUGAUAUAUCUUUUAUACAUGUGUUGACAAAUACUUAUAUGAAUAAUAUUGAUUGAAAACUGAAACAAAUUUUGAAAAGUGUUUUCCAUUUUCUGGUAAUUGAUAUACAUUUCAAGUGGGUUUUCUUUUCACAGUCAACUUGAGUUUUGUUGUGAAUCUUGUGAUAUGAGAGCCGUCCAAAAUAUUUUUUUUUUUUUUGGUAAAAUGUUAAGCUUACCAUUUUCUGAAAGAAGGAUAUACUGUUGUUGUUAAACAACUUAUUACAAGAGAAGAACAGAGAAGCAGAAAAGAAAGACAAAGGAAACAGACUAAACAACAACAAUCAAAAUAAGAGAAAGCGACACUAAGGUGGAAAG